rnacentral:rRNA from 1 species
GACGAACGCUGGCGGCGUGCUUAACACAUGCAAGUCGAGCGGUAAGGCCCUUUCGGGGGUACGACGAGCGGCGAACGGGUGAGUAACACGUGGGUGACCUGCCCUCAGCUCUGGGAUAAGCCUGGGAAACCGGGUCUAAUACUGGAUAUGACUCCAUGACGCAUGUUGUGGGGUGGAAAGCCUUGUGCGGCUGAGGAUGGGCCCGCGGCCUAUCAGCUUGUUGGGGGGGU